rnacentral:lncRNA from 1 species
CUUAAAAUCUAGAUUUAUUUAUCUCUGGUUUUUUUGUUUUUUUUUUUUUUUCCCGUACAGGCAAACCACUGAGAUCCUGUUGUUUUUGGGGGCAUUUCACCUGAAAUAAGAUGAUGAUGUGUCUUCAUAAAUUCAAAGAAUUAGCCUCUGAGUUCAUCUUUCAUUUCCCUGGAAACCAGAGCACUGUGGAUGAGUACUUGGCUCUGACCCAGAGCUGAAUCACAAGCAGUUUCGGCAUCUGUGAGAGAGUCCAAGAUCUCUCCCGAACUCAGCAGCACAAACUUAAUUCUGUUCUAUCCUUCACAAGCCACUUCUGACCGGAUUGCUCUCAUGUAGCACAGGCACUGAAGUGAUGUCUAAAUUAGAGCCUACAUUACUCCUCUGUCUGUCAAAGUGAAUGCAAGGAGAAAGAAAAGCCAGGAGGGAUAGUUUCAAACAGAUGAGCAGUCAUGCCUAUGUGUCUGUGUUUAAAACAGUGGGCUCCUGAUUUCACCUGUGCUCUGCCUUCAUGUAGAGAGGAGAUGUAGGUUUGUACUUCCCUUUGUGAUGGCAGGGCACUUGCUUAAGGACUAGCAAAGGAAAAGGCAACAGGGACAGGAGUUUCUGGAUAUACAGUGGCCCUGCACACUGCUGCUCCUAAGUGCAGUGCAUUGUACUUCCUCAGUGAAAAAGAGAAACCUCUCUAACAAAGCAUUUUAACAGGGCCUAAACAGCCACAUGUGUGAAAAAAAUAUGUUUGCAUUUUACUUUCCUCACCUGCAAAAUCAAACUGCUCUAUUUAUUCAUAAUAUAUUUAUGAAGUAAUUAAAAUUUUCAAAAAAAACCCUCUACUGUUCAUUCACAUAUUAACUGGAACUCAGUAUAGCUACCAAACAUAUAAAUAGUGCUCUGUACUUACGGUCUUGUCAGUGAUGAGCCAAUAAAUACACUGUUUACCUGCA